CAUCACCUUGUUCUAACCAGACGGUUAACUUAUUCAGUGGCCCAUCCCAUCCAAUGACGUGAUCUAACAACUGGACCUGGACGGAAUGGGUUCUGUCAGCUCAGUCUCACAUUUUCUGAAAACUGCCUCAGAGCCAGUGUCUCUUGCAGGCAGGCAGUGAGAAUACAGAAGGAAGAGGAGGCUGAUCCUGGCUCAGGAUGCUUGAGGGCCUCUAGUCGGGAGUGUGAUUAAUUCACCCAGAAUCACAAGGCUGGCUGAUGCCACAGAGGCAGGAGCAAGGGUUGAAGCUGGUGUUUGUGUGGAGGAGGCCAGUGGGAUUACUGGGGGAGUCUUCCCAGAGGUGGUGACAAGCAAACUGGGCUUUGACAAAAGCAAAUGAGAAAUUCAGGACAAAUCUAUAUAAGGACAAAUCUAAAGUGGAAUAGCUGGACAAUUAAAAACAAAAGCAAAAACCUGCGGGGCCCCAGAUUACUUCUCACUGGCCCAGAGCCUGGUCGAGAGGCUUCUAUGACUGUUAGGUUCCUCCAGCCCCUCUAGACACCAUCUCAUGCUCUGCUCAGACACAGGUGCUUGAACCAGGGGACUCUCUGCAAUGCCAGGACCUGCCCUCACUACACAGGUAGCACCUGUCCUAAGAGGAAAACUCUUCCUGCUGAUGGAAAGAGCUCACCUGUCUUCUGCAGAGGUGAGCAGUUCAGAACCAGUAUACCAAACUCCCAAUAUCAGAGUUCCAACAGCUGGGCAAUUGCCAAGGCUUUGUACUCUCAGCAUAGCCACCGCCAACAUGUUGGGACCCAGAGAUGCUCCAGCUGAAGCUCUUGAUGUGACCAAGACAAGGCUGCCAAGGACUGGCACGACUUUAGGAUCUGGGGGAAAGAAUCCUUCCCCAGCUCCACUUUGGGGAUCUCCCUCUGUCAGUGAAAUAGUUCUCCAUUUUUUUUUUUAGGGCUGCAGCGCAGCAUAUGGAAGUUCCCAGGCUAGGGGUUGAAUCGGACAUGCAGCUGCCUGCCUACACCACAGCCACAGCAACGUGGAAUGUGAGCCGUGUCUGUGACUACACCACAUUUCAUGGCAAUGCCAGGUCUCCAACCCACUGAGUGAGGCCAGGGAUUGAAUCUGCAUACUCAUGGAUACUAUUCAGGUUUGUUUUUGCUGUGCCACAACGGGAACUCCUGAAACCAAAUGUUUGCGUCAGUUGCCACCUUUGUGGGUCUCAAAACACCUCCCCCCAACUUUUCUCUCCUCCACCAGUUUCACAGACAUGUACCCUUGUCUCUCAUCCAGUAAACAAAGCCUCAGUCACAUAAAAACACAAUGUAUAAAAACAAAUCUCUCAAAUCUUUUGAGAAGCAGCAUCACUUAGCUGCAAGCAACGAUGAAAGGCCGUGGUUAACAGGACCCACCUCUGCAACAAGGGCGGAUGCAGCUUGGGUGUCUGCCAGCCUCUACUUGGGAGCAGACACACUAGGCUGAUAAUGAAGCUAAUGGCCAGUCUGUGGGCUUUCCUUGUGCCAUGCACGGUGCGAAGCGCACUGAGUCAAUCUCACUGGUGUUCACAACCAUCCAAGGGAAUGGGGAUAUGUCACCUGCAUAUAAUAGAUGAGCAGCGUGCGCUUUAGAAAGAGUCAGUGGCUUACGAGGUCACAGAGCUAGGGCAUGAAAGAGCUCAGACUAGGUCAGCGGCAGUAGAGAGAAAAACAUUUACUAGCACAGCUGCCUCGCCAAGCCUGUUCCGGAUCAGCCAGACCCCAGCUCACCCACCUACAAGGUUGGUCAUCCAUAGGUGCUUUUUUUUUUUUUUUUUUUUUUUGCUUUUUAGGGCCACACCUGUGGCAUGUGGAGGUUCCCAGGCUAGGGGGUCAAAUCAGAGUUGCAGCUGCCGGCCUACACCACAGCCACAGCAACACAGGAUCGGAGCCGUGUCUAUGAGCUUCACCACAGCUCAUGGCAAGGCUGGAUCCUUAACCCACUGAGCGAGGCCAGGGAUGGAACCUGCAUCCUCAUGGAUGCCAGUCAGAUUCGUUUCUGCGGUGCCAUGAUGGGAACUACAGUCAGACAUAGUUGUUGUUUAAGUCCCUGGGUUUUGGAGUUGUCUGUUACGCAGCAAUAGCUCACUCAUAUGUUUACCUUCUUUUAAAAGUUUUAUUAUUGAAGUGGAGUUAAUUUACAAGGUGGUGAUAAUUUCUGCUGUACAACAAAGUGAUUUUUGUAUUCAUUCUCCAUGCCUAGGGACUAGCAAAGCCCCUGAAAUGGUGUAAAUACUCAAUACAUGUUUGAUGUUUGAGUUCAUUUUUUUGAACUUGAAUUUAGAAUUUUAUUCCCAGUGAUUUGAAUUUUUUAUGUGUUUUUUAAAAUUUUAUUUAUUAUAGUUGCCUUACAAUGUUCUGUAAAUUUCUGCUGUACAACAAAGUGACCCAAACAUAUUAAUAUAUAUAUCCUUCAUUUUUUAAAAUCAUGUUUUUUUAAAAAAAAUUCAUCUUGGAGUUCCCUGAUGACUCAGUGGGUUAGGGAUCUGGUGUUGUCACUGCUGUGGCUCAGGUCACUCCUGUGAUGCGGCUUUGAUCCCUGGCCAGGGAAUUUCUGCAUGCAGCAGGUGCAGCCAAAAGGAAUGAAUUAAUAAAAGAAAACAAAAGUUUUAAAAAGUCAUCCUAAGGUCUCACUAAUAAGCAGCAUACUCUAUGCUAUUCAUCCAUGAGGCUUUGGAUGAAUAAAAACACAAAAAAUGAAGAUAAUGCUCUGUCUUGACGUGGAUCACUAAGGAUCCAGCUUCCUAGGAGUCAGCUCCUGGGAUCACCCAGCAUCACCCAGAGGCAGCGGUUACAUCCCACACCAGCAGUGAGGAAGCCAGCCUCCUUCCACUCCCCCUGGACUCCAGUGGCAUGAAAUGAACCAGCAUGACAAGGCACUUAUGGGACGCCAAGCUAGCUCCGCAGUGUGGCCACCUCUACCCUGAAGGGCUCAAGUCUAGCCAGAGGUUGCCAGUGUGAAGUCAGAUCCACUUUUCCUACGAUUUUUUUCAAAGGCAAUUUCCCAACCCCUCGGAGGGAACACACACCCUUCUCAUGCUGGCUUAAUGCUGUUUCCCAGGAGCAGCGUUCUGGAAGGUGGGCCAUCAGGUGGAAGAAGUAUUCUUGGGAGAGCUGCAUUCCCAUGGGACUGGUGACAGCUUGAGCCUGCCGGGGAGUCCUGCUGUAUUCCGAGGUGUGAAGGGAAGGCAUGAACCGUGCAUAUGUUGUACCAUACAGUGUUGCCUACUGCUGCUGGUAGCUUCAUUGUAGCUGUGAAUGCUCAGUUCCUCUCCUUUUCACCCUUGAAGAUUCGCGAACAUGCAGGAUUGGGCUGUGUGUGGCAGAGCCUUCCCCGCACAGUAGGCGAGGAAGGAUGUGGUCCCGAUGGUUCUACCCGCUGGGGCUGCCGGGCAUGGGUCAGGGGACCCUAGAGCUUGGCUUAGGACCUUAGACCUUAGGCUUCCCCGGGCAGCCUUCCCACCAUGUGCAAGGUAGAGAAUCUGGGUUUCAUCAAAGGCUUUUCUUGGCACAGGUCUAAAAGGCCAAAUUCCUUCUGAAAGAAGCAGACGUGAAGGAUAUCUAAUCAGAACCUGCACACAUGGAGGGACCAUCCAUUGCCCUGAAAGACACGCAGAUCCAUGGUCCACGUGCAUCCUGCAUGCGUUUGAGGCUGCACCUAGGUAGGCUUAAAGUCUACAGUCUAAAAACCAUGCAUGUGCUGCUUUCUAACCCAGAAGGGACAAGGGAGACUUGGAGAUGCUCUUCUGACUGUGAGAGGAGGAAGGAAACACAGGAGGCGGAGGGCCGAGGGGAGGAGACGAGAAGAAGAGGCACGAGCGAAGAGAAGGAGACUCUCUUGUCAAAACCUUUUUAGUGCGCAAAACUAAUUCUGUUCAUCUUGGAUUUGGUGAGCUGGAUAAUAUUCUGUGCACGGCUUCUCAAUGAAUUAUUAAAUGUCAACUCAAGAUGGCUUAACUAAAAUAUCCAAUUUAAUAACCAAAAGUAUCUAAGGUAACAACAACAAUUGUACAGGUGCGUGUAGUGUUGUCACGUCAAACCCUUAUAGACAAGCGGCUGGGGGGGUUCACAUAAUCUGCCGCCACAUCUCAUCUUCUGUCACUAAAUACCCACUCUGGAGAGUCAAACCUUUCUUCUUUUUUUUUUAUUUUUUUUCCCCUAAAAUAUAAAGCUAAACAAGAUUUCAGUCACCACCACCCAAUCUUUAUUAAUGCAUUCCUUGUGCUACUUCUGAAUAUUAAUAAAAAUUAAUAAUUAAUUUUGCCUUUGGCAUUGCAAGAUAUACUAGUUUUAAUUAGUGUACUGUACUCCUAUACAAUUAAAAAAUAAUUGAUGUCCACGCUUAUUGGCGGUGUCUGUGAUCUUCUUUUCUGUUGUUGACAACAAAUGCCUUAAAAAACAAGUUCAAGAGUGUUGUACUGUCCGCUUGAUUUACACACCCCAAGUAACAGGCAAAUCUUUUAUGAUGAAACAGAACAGUUUUCUGUUUAAAUUAUACACAAGUAUAUUAACUAGAAAGAGAAAAUUAAAAGCUGAUGGCUACCAGGAAUAAUGGAAAGUCUAUAAAAAUGUUUUAUCUAUCAACAAAUUUGCCUGGAAAAUAUCAAUGGUUGGCACCAUCUCUCAGCUGAAACGUGGAGAGGCCAUCUUGGAUUUGUUAUGUCAAUUCCAUCAAGCAUUUAAUUCCGAUGUCCUCCUUAAUCAGCUUUAGUUAUUUAAAUUCAGCAUAUCGUGUUACUGUUCUACUCCAUCAUUUUAAUUGUGCCAUGAACUACUUUAUUAUAGAAUGCUAAAGUAUCUCCUUGCGUCUCUCUCUUCUUUCUUUCUCAACAAUGCAGGCUGUGGAACUCAAGGCAAAGCACCUAUGGAUGAAGGGAAAACAGCUUCCUUGGAAAACGCUUGUAUCAGGAGUCUCCAACAGAGAGAGGGCCUGCUGUGUCAGGAUAUAAUUCAAAUCCCACCGCGCAUGGGUUUCUUGGCUUUAUUUCUUAGAACCAGGAGUCUGAUUUUGAGGAAAUCGCUAUUGAACAACCACCAAUCUACCUGGGGUACCAAGAAAGGAGAGAUGCUCUCAGAGGAAAUGGACCAUGUAAAGCACCGGGGAAAGGGGAAAGGGGCAGCACGAGGUCUGGAUCUCACCCUUUACCCCUACUCACUGGUUUUUUUGAAGCAGAAAAUCAGGAAUUGAUUUGCAAAUGUCUGUUUUAUCAGGUUCAUAAUCUCAGUAGCAAUUUU
rnacentral:lncRNA from 9 species